CCUACGGGAGGCAGCAGUGAGGAAUAUUGGUCAAUGGCCGGAAGGCUGAACCAGCCAUGCCGCGUGAAGGUCAGUGCCCUAUGGGCGUUAAACUUCUUUUGUGCGGGAGCAAUAAUGGUCACGUGUGGCCAGACGAGAGUACCGUACGAAUAAGCCUCGGCUAAACCCGUGCCCGCAGCCGCGGUUAUACGGGGGAUGCAAGCGUUAUCCCGAUUUAAUGGGUUGAAAGGGUGCGUAAGCUGGGAGGUAAGUCAGCGGGGGAAUGCCCCCGCUCAACGGGGUGGAGUGCCAUUGAUACUGCAUUGCUGGAAUGCGGAUGCCGUGGGAGGAAUGUGUGGUGUAGCGGUGAAAUGCAUAGAUAUCACACAGAACACCGAUUGCGAAGGCAGCUCACGAAUCCGCGAUUGACGCUGAUGCACGAAAGCGUGGGUAGCAAACAGGAUUAGAUACCCGGGUAGUC
rnacentral:rRNA from 1 species